rnacentral:tRNA from 1 species
AGCUGGUGGCGUAGUGGUUAAGAGCUUGGCUGCUAACUAAAAGGUCGGUGGUUUGAAUCCACCACCUGCUC